UUCAGAGCCGCCAACGCCAGGGCAAUCUAGCCACGUGGUCACCAAAGCAGACAGACCAAAUUUACUGGACAAGACGAGCCCGUGCUAUCAUGUCCGUGCGAUGUCAUCGGAGGACGUGCAGCCAUCCACAGGCUUGCUGCUCCCCGCCGAGAGCCGAGAACUGGUUGUUCGAGUCACGGCCACGCCACCCGAACCACGUGGAACACCCGCUGGUAUAAGCACACCGCAUGCGACUCCGCAUCAGGAUGUCCCGUCGCAAGGCGGUGAUAAGGAGCCGCCCAGCUCUGAUCCUUCCACGUCAGUUCCUGGGUGUGCUGGUGAAACCAGUCAACAAUCGUUACAGCCGCCGGUCACCAUAGUGGGGGAACCGCUUCCUCCGAGUCAUGGUGAGUCCUUGCCUGGAACGUCCAAGUCCAUCCCCGUCGUUGUGUCUGUGACGACAGCCGACACCAGUACUGUUUCUUCGGUUCAACAUGGCACAGCAAUGACAGCCUCGUUUCUUCAGGCGGAUAGUGU